AGAGUUUGAUCCUGGCUCAGGAUGAACGCUGGCGGCGUGCUUAACACAUGCAAGUCGAACGAAGCACUUUAUUACAAUUUCUUCGGAAUGACGAUUUAGUGACUGAGUGGCGGACGGGUGAGUAACGCGUGGGUAACCUGCCUUAUACAGGGGGAUAACAGUUAGAAAUGACUGCUAAUACCGCAUAAGCGCACAGGAUUGCAUGAUCUGGUGUGAAAAACUCCGGUGGUAUAAGAUGGACCCGCGUCUGAUUAGCUGGUUGGUGAGGUAACGGCCCACCAAGGCGACGAUCAGUAGCCGACCUGAGAGGGUGACCGGCCACAUUGGGACUGAGACACGGCCCAAACUCCUACGGGAGGCAGCAGUGGGGAAUAUUGCACAAUGGGGGAAACCCUGAUGCAGCGACGCCGCGUGAGCGAAGAAGUAUUUCGGUAUGUAAAGCUCUAUCAGCAGGGAAGAAAAUGACGGUACCUGACUAAGAAGCCCCGGCUAACUACGUGCCAGCAGCCGCGGUAAUACGUAGGGGGCAAGCGUUAUCCGGAUUUACUGGGUGUAAAGGGAGCGCAGGCGGUGCGGCAAGUCUGAUGUGAAAGCCCGGGGCUCAACCCCGGGACUGCAUUGGAAACUGUCGUACUUGAGUAUCGGAGAGGUAAGUGGAAUUCCUAGUGUAGCGGUGAAAUGCGUAGAUAUUAGGAGGAACACCAGUGGCGAAGGCGGCUUACUGGACGGUAACUGACGUUGAGGCUCGAAAGCGUGGGGAGCAAACAGGAUUAGAUACCCUGGUAGUCCACGCCGUAAACGAU
rnacentral:rRNA from 1 species